AUGGCUCUCACCUCUGGGCUGAACACAGCGUACUGUAAGUACAGGUUUCCUCUGUUUCUCCUUGUGUUACUCACUCUCUCUUUCCUUUCCUCUCCACAGGUAUCAACUUGGACGCAAAGCACAGUUACUCUGCUUUGGAUGGCUUUCACCUCUGGGCUGGACACAGCGUACUGUAAGUACAGGUUUCCUCUGUUUCUCCUUGUGUUACUCACUCUCUCUUUCCUUUCCUCUCCACAGGUAUCAACUUGGACGCAAAGCACAGUUACUCUGCUUUGGAUGGCUUUCACCUCUGGGCUGGACACAGCGUACUGUAAGUACAGGUUUCCUCUGUUUCUCCUUGUGUUACUCACUCUCUCUUUCCUUUCCUCUCCACAGGUAUCAACUUGGACGCAAAGCACAGUUACUCUGCUUUGGAUGGCUUUCACCUCUGGGCUGGACACAGCGUACUGUAAGUACAGGUUUCCUCUGUUUCUCCUUGUGUUACUCACUCUCUCUUUCCUUUCCUCUCCACAGGUAUCAACUUGGACGCAAAGCACAGUUACUCUGCUUUGGAUGGCUUUCACCUCUGGGCUGGACACAGCGUACUGUAAGUACAGGUUUCCUCUGUUUCUCCUUGUGUUACUCACUCUCUCUUUCCUUUCCUCUCCACAGGUAUCAACUUGGACGCAAAGCACAGUUACUCUGCUUUGGAUGGCUUUCACCUCUGGGCUGGACACAGCGUACUGUAAGUACAGGGUUCGCUCUAUUCCUCCUCGUGUUAUUCACUCUCUUUCCUUUCCUCUCCACAGGUAUCAACUUGGACGCAAAGCACAGUUACUCUGCUUUGGAUGGCUUUCACCUCUGGGCUGGACACAGCGUACUGUAAGUACAGGGUUCGCUCUAUUCCUCCUCGUGUUAUUCACUCUCUUUCCUUUCCUCUCCACAGGUAUCAACUUGGACGCAAAGCACAGUUACUCUGCUUUGGAUGGCUUUCACCUCUGGGCUGGACACAGCGUACUGUGCUAUCUCCGGAGAUCUGAAGCACGCUCACAACAUAUACUGUACUGA
ensembl:lncRNA